GUGAACAUUAAAUUGCAUGCGUAUCAUUGCGAACAUGAACUGAUUUGUUAUACGUGCAUACAAUAGGACGUGACUAAUUACUUGUGAGUGCAUAAUCUAGCAUACCGAGCAAACCAAGGUGAGUUCACACUCUUACCAAGGCAUGGGAUUCCCGGGGUGUUGGGAAUGGGAUUGAAAGGUUGAUUAGAUACUUUAUUGACACUAUGCCUAGACUACUACUUUACUAUCCUCGGUUGUGAAGGAUACCUAUAGUUACGAGUAGUCUAGUGGUUAUACAACGUGGAACACCACCACACAGUAACGUGGAACACCACCACACAGUAACGUGGAACACCACCACACAGUAACGUGGAACACCACCACACAGUAACGUGGAACACCACCACACAGUAACGUGGAACACCACCACACAGUAACGUGGAACACCACCACACAGUAACGUGGAACACCACCACACAGUAACGUGGAACACCACCACACAGUAACGUGGAACACCACCACACAGUAACGUGGAACACCACCACACAGUAACGUGGAACACCACCACACAGUAACGUGGAACACCACCACACAGUAACGUGGAACACCACCACACAGUAACGUGGAACACCACCACCAGUAACGUGGAACACCACCACCAGUAGAACAUACAAUCGGCCCAGUAGAGCCACCUGUUACAAACGAACUUACUAUUACGCAUUUACUUUCUGUGAACUCGCUCAACUAGUUUGUUGAUCAUUCUGUUACAUGCCUUGCAGAUCGUUAGGUACUUGGAGCUUGCACUGGUGAAGCGGGUCGUUGUGGACAAGGAUCGUGACUUUUCCGUUAAACUAUUAUGACACUUAAAACUGUUAACUACUACUGGUUUAUUUACUAUGCUUCCGCUACAUUUUGAAACGAUGAUUUGUUUGAUCACCUUUUGUAUUGAAUGGAUGGUUUUUAUUAAUAAUUAAUGUAUGUUCAAUAUGAUUGGUGGCUUGAUCCUGGUCAGUCACGCUCCCAAGCGGUGAUACUCCGCAGGUGGAUUUUGGGGGUACUAUAA
rnacentral:lncRNA from 1 species